rnacentral:rRNA from 1 species
GAGUUUGAUCCUGGCUCAGAACGAACGCUGGCGGCGUGCUUAACACAUGCAAGUCAGGGAGAAAGUCUCUUCGGGGAUGAUUAAACCGGCGCACGGGUGAGUAACACGUGAGUGACCUGCCUUUUAGACUGGAACAACUUACCGAAAGGUGAGCUAAUGCCGGAUGAGUUAUAUAAGUGCAUGUUUAUAUAGGAAAAGUUGGGGAGACCUGACGCUGAAAGAUGGACUCGCGUCCCAUUAGCUAGUUGGUAGGGUAAUGGCCUACCAAGGCGACGAUGGGUAGCCGGCCUGAGAGGGUGGCCGGCCACACUGGGACUGAGACACGGCCCAGACUCCUACGGGAGGCAGCAGUGGGGAAUUUUGCGCAAUGCUCGUAAGAGUGACGCAGCGACGCCGCGUGAAUGACGAAGGCCUUCGGGUCGUAAAGUUCUUUCGACAGGGAAGAAAAUGCCUAUAAGUAACUGUGUAUGUAUUGACGGUACCUGUAUAAGCAGCCCCGGCUAACUCCGUGCCAGCAGCCGCGGUAAUACGGAGGGGGCGAGCGUUGUUCGGAGUGACUGGGCG